UACGGGGGGAGCAAGCGUUGUUCGGAUUUACUGGGCGUAAAGGGCGCGUAGGCGGCCAGCACAAGUCAGUUGUGAAAUCUCCGGGCUUAACUCGGAAAGGUCAACUGAUACUGUGCGGCUAGAGUGCAGAAGGGGCAACUGGAAUUCUCGGUGUAGCGGUGAAAUGCGUAGAUAUCGGGAGGAACACCAGUGGCGAAGGCGGUUGCCUGGGGCUUUGCUGACGCUGAUGCGCGAAAGCGUGGGGAGCGAUCCGG
rnacentral:rRNA from 1 species